AACGGGUGGUAAUGCCGGAUGCUCCGACUCCUCGCAUGGGGUGUCGGGAAAGAUUUCAUCGGUAUGGGAUGGGGUCGCGUCCUAUCAGGUAGUCGGCGGGGUAACGGCCCACCGAGCCUACGACGGGUAGCCGGCCUGAGAGGGCGACCGGCCACAUUGGGACUGAGAUACGGCCCAGACUCCUACGGGAGGCAGCAGUGGGGAAUAUUGCACAAUGGGCGCAAGCCUGAUGCAGCGACGCCGCGUGCGGGAUGACGGCCUUCGGGUUGUAAACCGCUUUUGAUCGGGAGCAAGCCUUCGGGUGAGUGUACCUUUCGAAUAAGCACCGGCUAACUACGUGCCAGCAGCCGCGGUAAUACGUAGGGUGCAAGCGUUAUCCGGAAUUAUUGGGCGUAAAGGGCUCGUAGGCGGUUCGUCGCGUCCGGUGUGAAAGUCCAUCGCUUAACGGUGGAUCUGCGCCGGGUACGGGCGGGCUGGAGUGCGGUAGGGGAGACUGGAAUUCCCGGUGUAACGGUGGAAUGUGUAGAUAUCGGA
rnacentral:rRNA from 1 species